AUGAGAGAUUUUCGAAAUUGUUUGGGAGAUUGUGGACUGGCAGAUAUGGGAUGUAUGGGUGACUUAUUUACAUGGAGGAGGGGCGAAAUCAGGGAAAGACUAGAUCGAGCGGUCUGUAAUGUGGAUUGGGCGAAUAAAUUCCCUCGAGCGGCGGUUAUAAACGAAGAACAUGUACACUCAGACCAUCGCCCUAUUAUU
rnacentral:rRNA from 1 species